AACGUAGGACGCAAGCGUUAUCCGGAGUUACUGGGCGUAAAGCGCGGGCAGGCGGCUCGAAACGUCUGAUGUGAAAUCUCCUCGCUCAACGGGGAGAGGCCAUUGGAAACGGUCGAGCUGGAGGGCAGUAGAGGUAGGCGGAAUUCCGGGUGGAGUGGUGAAAUGCGUAGAGAUCCGGAGGAACACCGGAGGCGAAGGCGGCUUGCUGGGCAUGAUCUGACGCUGAGGCGCGAAAGCGUGGGGAGCGAACAGG
rnacentral:rRNA from 1 species